rnacentral:rRNA from 1 species
GCUUAACGCGAAGAACCUUACCUGGGCUCGAACGGCGGACGACGUCUCUUAGAAAUAGGAGAGUUUCCUUCGGGAACGGCCGUCGAGGUGCUGCAUGGCUGUCGUCAGCUCGUGUCGUGAGAUGUUGGGUUAAGUCCCGCAACGAGCGCAACCCUUGUCCUGUGUUGCUAAUCUUCGGAUGCACUCUCAGGAGACCGCCAGCGACAAGCUGGAGGAAGGGUGGGGAUGAUGUCAAGUCAGCAUGGUCCUUUAUGUCCGAGGGCUACACACGUGCUACAAGUGGCGAGGACAGACCGUUGACAAACCCGCGAGGGGGAGCUAAUCGGAGAAACCUGUUCUCAGUUCGGAUUGCAGGCUGCAACUCGCCUGCAUGAAGCUGGAAUCGCUAGUAAUGGCAGAUCAGCAUGCUGCCGUGAAUACGUUCCCGGGUCUUGUACACACCG